AUUGAACGCUGGCGGCACGCUUUACACAUGCAAGUCGAACGGUAACAGGGUGCUUGCACCGCUGACGAGUGGCGAACGGGUGAGUAAUGCAUCGGAACGUAUCCAAUAAUGGGGGAUAACGCAUCGAAAGGUGUGCUAAUACCGCAUACGCCCUGAGGGGGAAAGUGGGGGACCGUAAGGCCUCACGUUGAUGGAGCGGCUGAUGCCUGAUUAGCUAGUUGGUGAGGUAAAGGCUCACCAAGGCUUCGAUCAGUAGCUGGUCUGAGAGGACGACCAGCCACACUGGAACUGAGACACGGUCCAGACUCCUACGGGAGGCAGCAGUGGGGAAUUUUGGACAAUGGGGGCAACCCUGAUCCAGCCAUGCCGCGUGAGUGAAGAAGGCCUUCGGGUUGUAAAGCUCUUUCGCAAGGGAAGAAAAGCCCCUCAAUAACACCGGGGGGUCAUGACGGUACCUUGAUAAGAAGCACCGGCUAACUACGUGCCAGCCGCCGCCGUAA
rnacentral:rRNA from 1 species